GUCCUUCUAGUAUUAACCAGUACAAGUGACUUCCAAUCACUAAGACUCAGUUGUACCCUGAGGAAGAACA
rnacentral:tRNA from 1 species